GUCCAGAUGACGAGUCCCAGAUAGGACAAAAUGCUCGUCCUGAAU
rfam:Schistosoma curassoni strain Dakar, Senegal genome assembly, scaffold: SCTD_scaffold0003129